rnacentral:rRNA from 1 species
UACGGGGGGAGCAAGCGUUGUUCGGAUUUACUGGGCGUAAAGGGCGCGUAGGCGGCACUGCAAGUCAGUUGUGAAAUCUCCGGGCUUAACCCGGAAAGGUCAACUGAUACUGCAGGGCUAGAGUGCAGAAGGGGCAACUGGAAUUCUCGGUGUAGCGGUGAAAUGCGUAGAGAUCGGGCGGAACACCCGUGGCGAAGGCGGCCGACUGGGCCGGCCCUGACGCUGAGGCGCGAAGGCGUGGGGAGCGAACGGG